AGCAGCCGCGGUAAUUCCAGCUCCAAUAGCGUAUAUUAAAGUUGUUGCAGUUAAAAAGCUCGUAGUUGAAUUUCGGGAUUGGCGCAUCGGUCGUGCCUCACGGGGUAUGAACUGGUGCAGUCAAUUUCUCACCUUCUGGAGAACCGCGAUGUCCUUAAUUGGAUGCCGCGGGGAACCAGGACCUUUACUUUGAAAAAUUAGAGUGUUUAAAGCAGGCAUUUUUGCUUGAAUACAUUAGCAUGGAAUAAUAAAAUAGGACGGCAUGGUUCUAUUUUGUUGGUUUCUAGGACCACCGUAAUGAUUAAUAGGGAUAGUUGGGGGCAUUAAUAUUCAAUUGUCAGAGGUGAAAUUCUUGGAUUUAUUGAAGACUAACUACUGCGAAAAGCAUUUGCCAAGGAUGUUUUCAUUAAUCAAGAACGAAAGUUAGGGGAUCGAAGACGAUCAGAUACC
rnacentral:rRNA from 1 species